rnacentral:lncRNA from 1 species
UGCUUACACACAGUUCAAUACCCCCCGAGCCUCCUCUCCCACACAAAUUGCCCCACGGGACAACCUGAGAACCUCGUCCACCCAACAGGACAUCCCCAGGACCUCUUUCACACAGCACAACACCCCCAGAGCAUCCUCUCCCUCAAGAAUUGCCCAACGGGAUAACCCCAGAACCUCCUCUGUCCAACGAAACAAUCCUCAAGUUUCCUCUCCCACCAGAGCCACCGGACAAGACAACUCUAGAACCUCUUCUGUCCAACAGGACAACCCUCAGACUUCUUUUCCCACUUGUACUCCCCAGAGGGACAACCCCAGAGGCCCCUCUCCCAAAAGAACCACCCAACAGGACAACCCCAGAUCAUCCUGUGCCCAGCGGGACAACCCCCGAGGCUCCUCUCCCAACAGAACCACCCAACGGGACAACCCCAGAUCAUCCUGUGCCCAGCGGGACAACCCCCGAGGCUCCUCUCCCAACAGAACCACCCAACGGGACAACCCCAGAGGCUCCGCUCCCAACAGAACCACCCAACGGGACAACCUCAGAGCAUCCUGUCCCCAGGAGGACAACCCCCGAGGCUCCUCUCCCAACAGAACCACCCAACGGGACAACCCCAGAUCAUCCUAUGCCCAGCGGGACAACCCCCGAGGCUCCUCUCCCAACAGAACCACCCAACGGGACAACCCCAGAUCAUCCUGUGCCCAGAGGGACAACCCCAGAGUCCCCUCUCCCAACAGAACCAGCCUGCAGGACAACCCCAGAGGCUCCGCUCCCAACAGAACCACCCAACGGGACAACCUCAGAGCAUCCUGUCCCCAGCAGGACAACCCCAGAGUCCCCUCUCCCAACAGAACCACCCAACGGGACAACCUCAGAGCAUCCUGUGCCCAGCAGGACAACCCCAGAGGGUCCUCUCCCAACAGAACCACCCAAAAGGAUAACCCCAGAUCAUUUUGUGCCCAGUGGGACAACCCCAGAGUCCCCUCUCCCAACAGAACCGUCCAGCGGGACAACCCCAGAGCUUCUUGUAUUCAACAGAACAUCCCCAGAACCUCUUCUACCCAACGGGACAACCCUAAGACCUCUUGUACACAAUGGAAUAAUCCUAGAACCUCUUAUACUCAACGAGACAACCCACAGUCUUCCGCUCGGCGGGACAGCCCUGGAACUUCCUCCCCUCGAUGCUGCACACAAUGGGACAAUCCUGGACCAUCAUCUCCUCAUCGCUCCACUCCACGGAACAAUCCCAGGAAUUCUUCUCCCCAUCGUACUAACAAAGACAUUCCCUGGGCCUCCUUUCCCCUCCGCCCAACCCAGAGUGAAGGCCCGCGAACCUCGUCCCCAUCUCGCUCCAAGCAAAGUGAGGUUCCCUGGGCCUCCAUUGCCCUUCGGCCAACCCAAGGGGACAGGCCCCCUCAGACCUCAUCUCCCACUAGGCCAACUCAGCGUGACCCACCUCUGUCCUCCUCCGGAUCUACCCAGCACAACUCACUGUCUCGGGCCGCUUCUUCCUCCCAUAACCCGGGCCCCCACAGUGCCUCCCGGACUUCUUCACCUCUGUACCCUGCUAUCCGUGGGGCACCCCAGACCUCUUCUGAGCCCUCCCAGCCUCCAUGUUCUGUGUGUAUUGGGCAUCGGGAUGCCCCUCGAGCUUCUUCACCUCCUCGCUAUUUGCAACAUGACCCCUUCCCCUUCUUCCCAGACCCCCAUGCAUCUGAGAGUGAGCCUCCCCACCACAAUCCCCCCUAUAUACCUCCAGCUGUGUGCAUUGGACACCGGGAUGCCCCCCGGGCUUCUUCACCUCCUCGCUAUUUGCAGCAUGACCCCUUCCCCUUCCUCCCAGACACAUCAGAUGCUGAGACCCAGUCCCCCCAGCAUGACCCUCCUCAGUUCCCCCCNNNNNNNN